GAUGAACGCUGGCGGCGUGCUUAACACAUGCAAGUCGAACGAUGAAGCCCAGCUUGCUGUGUGGAUUAGUGGCGAACGGGUGAGUAACACGUGAGUAACCUGCCCUUAACUCUGGGAUAAGCCUGGGAAACUGGGUCUAAUACAGGGUAGGAGCGUCCACCGCAUGGUGGGUGUUGGAAAGAUUUAUCGGUUUUGGAUGGACUCGCGGCCUAUCAGCUUGUUGGUGAGGUAAUGGCUCACCAAGGCGACGACGGGUAGCCGGCCUGAGAGGGUGACCGGCCACUCUGGGACUGAGACGGGGCCGAGACUCCUGCGGGGGGGAGCAGUGGAAAAUUGUACACUAGGGGCGCAAGUCAUGCGCAGAGGCGGCGCGUGGGGGAUGACGGCCUGCGGGGUGUAAUCCUCUUUCUGUAGGGAAGGAGCGAUUGUGACGGUACCUGCAGAAGAAGCACCGGCUAACUACGUG
rnacentral:rRNA from 1 species